AGGCAUAUAAUUCAGUGGUAGAGUACUUGCCUUGCAUGCACAAGGCCUUGAGUUUGAUUCUCAGCAUCACUA
rnacentral:tRNA from 1 species